rnacentral:rRNA from 1 species
GACGAAGGGGGCUAGCGUUGUUCGGAAUUACUGGGCGUAAAGCGCGUGUAGGCGGUUGUUCAAGUCAGAUGUGAAAGCCUUGAGCUCAACUCAAGAAAUGCACUUGAUACUGGAUGACUAGAGGACCGGAGAGGAUAGUGGAAUUCCCAGUGUAGUGGUGAAAUACGUAGAGAUUGGGAAGAACACCAGUGGCGAAGGCGGCUAUCUGGACGGUUUCUGACGCUAAGACGCGAAAGCGUGGGGAGCAAACAGG